rnacentral:rRNA from 1 species
GAUCAUGGCUCAGAUUGAACGCUGGCGGCAUGCUUUACACAUGCAAGUCGAACGGUAACAGGGAGCUUGCUCCGCUGACGAGUGGCGAACGGGUGAGUAAUGCAUCGGAACGUACCCAGUCGUGGGGGAUAACGUAGCGAAAGUUACGCUAAUACCGCAUACGUCCUGAGGGAGAAAGCGGGGGGACCGUAAGGCCUCGCGCGAUUGGAGCGGCCGAUGUCGGAUUAGCUAGUUGGUAGGGUAAAGGCCUACCAAGGCGACGAUCCGUAGCGGGUCUGAGAGGAUGAUCCGCCACACUGGGACUGAGACACGGCCCAGACUCCUACGGGAGGCAGCAGUGGGGAAUUUUGGACAAUGGGCGAAAGCCUGAUCCAGCCAUGCCGCGUGAGUGAAGAAGGCCUUCGGGUUGUAAAGCUCUUUCAGCCGGAAAGAAAUCGCGCAGGAUAAUACUCUGCGUGGAUGACGGUACCGGAAGAAGAAGCACCGGCUAACUACGUG